UAAGACAUUGGGGAAUGGAAGUGCAAGAGUCUUGGUACAAUAUAAGGGAAUGCAAGUCCAAGAGUUGUCUGUAGCAGGGACAACAAGGUUCUUAAGAAAUGAGAUCGGUCAAGAAGGAGCUUGAGGCAUGCCAUGAAAGUUUUUUGAUUGUAUAUAUAUUAGUACAAUGCCACUGAAGUAUUAUGUCGUAAAUAUGUCAUUGACAUUUUAGUAGUGGAAGUAUUUAUAAUAUUUGGUCGGAGAAUGAUUUUAUAGUUUAAAUACUAUUUGAUGUUUUUAAAGUUAUA